UUCAGAACGUUUUUGUGUUUAAAAUUUUUCUCGCACAAAUGACAUUGGAAAGGACGUUCGUCAUUGUGAACUUUUUUGUGCACAGACAAAUGUGCGAGUUGCUUGAACAUUUUGGCACAAAUUUCGCACUGAGACUUUGCAUAAUAAUUUUCUUCCUUCGGAGAGACGAACGGUACAUCUGGCAUAAUGGGCAACUCUGGCUCCAGAUAAAUCCUGGGAGGAAUCCAUUGCUGUUUCACAAUCUAUUACUAUGCACGAGGGUUUUUGAGGGCACAACGCCACGGUGAUUUUCUAUUUUUACUGACCGAUAUUGAAAAAUAUAGACUUGCUUGAAAAGUUUGUUGCACGAAUUAAAUAUUAAUGAAAAAAAAAAGGAUCGCCUAAAUUGUUUUCAAUAUUUCAGAAAUUAUAGUAUAUAGCAUUUUUAAAUACACUCAAAUAAAACAGUACAGUUUGGCUUUUGGAAUCAUAUAUGAAGCUUUAAGGAGAUUAUUAAUGUUUGAAAUAACGUGCGUAAAUUUAAAUUCAAAUACCUCCAAGUACCA